CAAACACAUACAUAUAAAUUGAGGGAGAGCCGGGAAAACAGAACAGUAGAAAGUUCAAAAGUUAAAAUUUCAAGAGAUAAGCACUUAAUAUAAAAUAAAUGACAUCAGGAUCAUAUUAUGAAACAAUUUUUAUUCCUCACUUAACAUUUAUUUGAAGCAGCAGCUGGCUCUCCAAUACAAUAAUACUAAUCAGUUUUUUGAUGAAUCUAAAUCCUAGGCCAAUGAAGUAUUUAUUCUUCAUGAGAAAUGCAGUUAAGUAACACAUGUCUCUUCCUCUUUUUCUGCCCAGCCAGAGCAACAGAAAAAGAUUGCUGGGUAUGAGUGUGGGUUUCUUUCACCUUUAGAGCAGAGAGUAUUAAAACUCGACCUAAAGCCCAUUAAUGAAUUGUGAGGGACCUACUGAUGGACCAAAAUGCAUCUAAGAUUGGAAGUCUUUUUUCACUGUUCUGCGUGGCUCUCUAUUCCAUAAGUUUUAGUUUUCACUUAUGAUUUGUGAUGGUUAAUACUGAGUGUCACCUUGAUUUAAAGCCAUAUACAUAUAGCCAACUAACUGAGUUGUUUAUGAUUACUAAAUUUGUAAACUGACCUUUGUACAUUAUCCCAGUUUACUGAAGGUUCCCGUUCAGUGUUCUGACUAAAGCUCAACCCUGAACAGAGAGUUGAAAUGUGACAUACACCAGGUAGAUAGGAGCUGCGAUACUAAGUGGGCCAUUUUUUUUCAUCCCACAAAAUGGCCUUAAGAAAAACAUGUGAGAGUCUACACUCUAGUGGCGCUCAAGUAAACAACACCUCCAUGUGAUAAGAACAUAAAGAAAAUCUCUGAAGAAUAUUCUCCUCCCACAACUACUCCUUCUAUAUAUAUAUUACUUCCUAAGAAAAGAAAGAGGAAUGACAGGUCAUGUUCUUCCUCUCGUCAAACUGAAGCCCAGGAGUCUAACUUUGAGACAUCUUUGAUGUCUGUAUUCCAGAGUCAAUUCACACUAACUCAAAUAAUUCUUGACUGCAUAGUCUGAUGUACAGAUUAGUCAAAGACAUAGAUGGGAAGAAAAUUAUCGGAUGUUUUAAAAGUCUUCAUGAGGUUUUUAUGAUGGAUGUAUACAGGUCAGAAGAUACCUAGUGAUUUUCCUCUAGAAAAGAGAAAAAUACAAAAAUGGCUUUAAUAAUACAGGAUUAGUUACAUGUUAUAACAGAGGAAUAAUCAAAAAAUAAUAGUGGAAUGAGUGAAUUAGAUUUUAUCAACUUAGAAAAUGUUUAUAGAGGGCUUAUUAUGUUUCAGGCACAUUUUUAAAGCCUGGGGAUAGCAUCAUGAACUGAAAAUAUUAGGCUCUGUGCUUGUGCUACUUUGUAGAUGAGAAGAAAGGAUGACCAAGUGUGUCUAACUCAGAAGCAGGGUUUCGAAUUUCAAACACUGCUUGCUACCACUAUGUGAGGUCCAAGAUAGGACCCCACUUCUCCAGUGCAACUCCCCAGUGUAUUACUGCCAAAUGUAAAUCAUCACUACCUUGUGCUAUUUCUUUAUGUCAUAAUAAGCCCACAGAGAUUUUGAAACAAUCAAAAAUGUUCCACCCAAACACAUUUUACAGAGCUCAAGUGAUUAAGCUACGAAAUAUGGUUUCAUUAAUAUGGCUCUGCUUAGUAGUUUUCAAAGUCUAGAUAGAGUAUUUGUCAACAAGAAGGGACGCACAGGGCCACAUGCUUACUGUGCAAUAACUGGAAAUAAGAUACAAACCAUGUAUUGUUCUUUAGUAUCAAGUUAACUGACAGGCCACUUGGUAUCUCUUUGACUUGUUUAAAAUGUACUUUCAAAUAAAAGAAAGAAAACAAAUGGUAUUUUAACUAACUAGUGUUUUCCUGAAUGAGGAAACUGCCUUUUCUAAUCUUGUAUUAUAGACAGGAGCAAACAGGUUUGCAUCAAUUACUGUUCUGUUUGUUUAAUAUGUAUUUUCAAAAACAGUGAAUACCAAAUCAAAUAGUUUUAAUGCUCAGUUAUGCUAAAUAGCCCCCAUUUGGAUUUUUUCCAAAAUAAAUCUAAGUAAAUAUUGAUAAAUAGCACAAAGCGUAUCAAUAAUAUGUUGUCUGAGCUUGUUAUUUAGGGGAUUAAAAUCACAGCCGAGAGAGCAAAUAAAUAUUACAAGUUACACUGCAUCAUAUUUGCCAAACUUCCUAAAUUAUUAGCAGAUCCACUGGGUAAAUGCAGCAGCAAAGCACAAUCUGUUUCCCAUGCAAAUCUGAAAUCCACUUAUGAGGCAUAACAAGCCUAGAUAGGAUUUCAGAUAUAUGAUUACAGAAUUAUUGAUUCACCAUUUUCAUCUCCAAAGAAGGUCAUUCUAGGGAUCACCUUGUAGGUUUACCCAAAAUGAAAUAAGAGAAGUGUAUAUGGGUAGUUUAUUCUUUCCAUGUGUACACACUUGAGGUCAGCUUAACCAAUUUGUACCAAGAUGAUGAUUCGUAUAAGACACAUAGAAUCUAUCAUCAAAUGAUUUUCAAUCAGAUAGGAAGUAUGUGAAACAAAUGCACAAUAACUCUAACACAAAGAAGAAUGGAGGUCUCCAUAGCAGUGUAAGGGCUGUCGAGGAGAAUAUGUUCAGAUGGGGAAGGUGAAAUGGAGUCCUGCUUCCUUGAAUUUAAUUGAGCAAGAAACAGAGGAGAAGCAAACACUUUGGAAGAAGAGUUUGUGUAGCAAAGGCUCAUAGUCAUAGUUGCCUUCUAAAGAAGGAGGAUCCCUUUUAUUUUCCUAGGGCUCUGGAUGAGCAGAGGUAUGCAGAGGGGACCCUGAAACUGCAGCUGGGCUAGGAGCUGGAGAGAGCUGAAUUACUCUGGUUAAGGAAAUGUGAGAUUUGGGAUUUGCCACUAGGAGGACGAGAGGAAAAGAAGAGAGAAAGUAUGAAAGAGAUGUGAGGCUAAAGCUAAAACUGAGAGACAGUCUGCAACAGGUAUAUCUAACCGGAAAUGUUAAUUAUUUCAUUCCUGUAGUGGGAGUACUUCCUUCUCCCCAGACCUCUGUAUUUCAUUUCCUCUACUAAAUGUCUUGUGUAGGUGGGAUGCUUUGGUCAUGGUAUUUUUGUUUUGUUUUUGUUUGGGUUUUGUAGUUUUUUUCUUUCUUUUUUUUUUCCUUAAAAUUAAGAAAGAGAACUGAAUUCCAUGACUGGGUUAACUAAUUGUAAUAGAGGGACCACAUUAGCAGGAAGGUAAGUGGAGCUGUAAACUAAUCACAGAUGCUCCUCUAGUUACAAACAGCUUAGGUAACCAAAAUCCCUAAUUGUGCAUAAAUCCAAAGUGACUCCACACAAGUAAUUGCUAUUGCCAUCUGUUAAUGGCUGGCAGAGCUUUUUUAUGUAUCUGUGGAAAUUGAAAGUUUUUAAUAAUUGAAGUUAUUCUGAUAAUGUAACCCUUUUCUCUGCUUUACCCCACAAAUUUCUAUAAAUCUUAGAGAAAGCCACAGAUUCCACAUUUCGUGGCAUGGUAGGUCAGAUCCCUUUUACCUCAAUCUUCAAGUGUAUAGAGAAUGCAACUAAUAUCAAGGUUAUGUAUGUAAUCCAAUUUGGUGGAGCAAAGUGUAUGUUAAGCAAACAAGUAGAAAACUUAGAAGGCAGCUUGAGACCAAAUUGUGCAGGAUCUUGAAUGUUCAAGUCAGGAACUAUGUUUCAUUACACCAUGAAUUAUAAUUCAAAAUUACAAAGGGGAGGAGGACUAACAAGUAAGAAUUGAUAUAUCCAACCUAAAUAUCUCCCUCAAGUCCCACAUCCAUGUAUCCAGCUGCCUACUGGACAUUUCCGCUUGGACUUCUCUCGGGUAUUUAUUUUAUUUAUUUUUUGAGAUGGAGUCUCACUCUGUUGCCAGGUGGGAGUGCAGUGGUGCGAUCUCAGCUCACUGUAGCCCCAAACUCGGAGAUUCAAGCAAUUCUCCCACCUCAGCCUCCCGAGUGGCUGGGACUACAGGCACCCACUACCACGCCUGGCUAAUUUUUGUGUCUUUUAGUAGAGGCGGGGUUUCACUAUGUUGGCCAGGCUGGUCUCAAACUCCUGACCUCAAGUGAUCUACCCUCCCUGGCCUCCCAAAGUGUUGGGAUUACUGGUAUGAGCCACCACGCCCAUCCUCUCUCAGGUACUUUAAACUUGACUGUCAAAUUCAUCUUUCUCCCCCUACAUAUACUUUUAUAUGUUUUCUAUGUGUUUUUAUGUAUUUGUUUGUUGAUACCUGUUUCCUAGCCAAGAAGCUAGGCAUCAGGUCUGUUUUCUUUGUCCUUAUUCCAUAUAGCAAACUGGCCAAUGGGAUGUGUUAAUUUUGCCUUCACGGUGUCUCUUCAGUUCAUCCUUUCUUUUCCAACCCACCACCUUUCAUUUAGCCCAGACCCUCAUGGUUUCUCAUAGGAAUUACUACAGUGUAACAUGUGGGUGUAUGUCAGAUUGCCCGAGUUCAAAUUCUACAGCACACUUCAUCAGCCAUAUGACCUCUAUUCACUUCAGUUUCCUUGUUUGUAAAAUGUGGAAAAUGAAAGCACCUACCUUAAAUGAAUAAAUGAAUGCAUGCCUGAAUUAUAGGAGGAAGAAGAAAAAUUACAUGAUCAAGCCUUAGCUUUAUCGAGGUAUGAAUCCAGAUAGUCAGAAUCUAUGGCAGGGCUGUCUGAUAGAAAUAUAAUGGGAGUCAUUACAUUUAAAUGUAACUUUAAAUAUAAAUAUAUUUAUAUUUAAAUGUGACUUUAAAUAUAAUGGGAGCCAUUAUAUAUAUAUGUGUAUAUAACUUUAAAUUUUCUAGUAAAAAAAUAAAAAUACGUUAAAUUAAUAAUAUUUAUUUAGUCCAAUAUAGCCAAAAUAUUCUCUUGUGGCACUAGACACGUUUUAAGUGCUCACUAGGCACAUGUGGCUGGUGGCUCCCAUUACUGGACCAAGCAGCCACAGAGAUUAUGACACUGGAGAAUACUAUUGUCAAAACCAAUGAAAGAAAACCUCAAGAAGGUGCUUAGAAAGAAAAGAUGAUACAUUUAUCCUGCUCACAGUGAGGUUAGGGUAUGUAAGCAAUUCGGGUGAAAAUAUCUUAAUAAGCAGUGAGAAAUAGAGUUCUAAAAUAGGCAGAAUUAGAGAUUACAUUUCAGAAGCCAAAAACCAAGGAUCUAGCCAUAAAGUAUGCUUUAAUUUUAGCUCACCUCAAUAAGUAAAUAUUUGCUUACUAGUAUUGCCUGGUGAUGUGUGGUGUGCUGUGGGGCCCUCCAUGACUUCACUCUUGCUGUGCCCCCUCCUCAAAGGUCCCACAUCUUACUCUGCACCUCUCCAAAUGCUGUCAUACAAAGGCCUGCCCCACUUCUUACAUUAAGGCUUUUCCAACUAUUUUGUCACGUUUAUCUUAUCCCUCAAAUCCUGCUGUACAUAAAAUUACUAUUUACACAGUUAGGCACUGUAAUUACUCUGGGCACCAUCUUUUGUCCUCAUAGCUUGACUGUAAGUUCCUUGAAAACCAGGAGCAUUUCUGUUUCCACAGACCUCAGAAUCAAAGAACCUGAGUGCUCAAUAAAUGAUUGUUGAAACAGUGACUGACUCGGGCAACAUUCAAGCUUCAGCUUCCGAAAUUAUGAAGGCACAUCCAAGGAACUGAAAAUUCCACAAACACUGUUCUUUAACUCAGUGCUAAUGGUCAAACUGCUUCCAUUUGCAUGUGGGUGUUUGGAAUGGCAGACUCAGAAAUCAUUUUUGACAUAAACUGGGUAAUCCAGAGGGCAGUAUGGGCUUCCAGCUACUCUUCAGGUUCACCAGGAACAGGUAGUUCAAGGUAGUUACGUUAUAAACCUUAGAUGUCUUGAUGCACUUGCAGUUAAUUCCAGCUAAUUCAUCUUCGGAGGAAGAUGUUUUCAUCACUGAGUAGUGAGCAGGAAGAGAUUAAUUUUAAAGGCAAGCAAAAUAGAAGCGUCUUAACAGCCCGUUAAUUAUGCCAUUUUCCCAUUUCCUGCUCUUGAUGUAUUGUGCGCCCAUGAAAAGAUGGGGCAAAAUCCAGGCUUUAGAAAUUCAUGUUUUGUGGAGAAAAUCCAUUUCUGUGCCUUGCAAAGCAGAACUACAGGUGCAGCAAGUGAGUAAACAGUACCAGCUGCUCCUUGGCUGUGGUUCGUUAAAGAGAAAUUAAAGACAAAACCCAGGUUUGGAGUGAGUACAGAAUCACUGAGAGGACAGCAACGGAUUUUUCAUGACUUUGGCCCCGCUUCUAGCAUCUCCACCGUAAAACAGCACGCUCAUAAAGGAACCGCAGCACACACAUGCUGAAGGUCAGAGCUGGUUUCUGCCUAUAUUCUGGUGAAGUGUUUUGGUGAAAUGUCCUUGCAGACAUUGUGACUUAGCCAGGGAACUCGUACCAGAUUCAUAUAUUAAAGUUCUAGAGGCUGAUUUGGGAGAUGAUGUAGAGUGCCUAAACACACAAACUUGUCACCAAUACAAGUGAAUUCACAUCUUAAGCUUUUAAAAAAUUCAUAUCUCAAGGAACCUAAUGGGCUCAGGAUUUUUUUUUUUUGUACUUAUGACAUGGGUUCACUUUUAUAUGACUAAGCUUUUAGGAAAAGUCUGUGAGUGGAGAAGUUUGAUAGUAUAGAGUUUAUCAGAAUACAGAAGAUAAUAUUACACAUCAGAGUCUCAAAAACGUUUCAGUGGUUAUCUGUUUGCUUUAUUCUCACCAGUUGAUUCCUUACCUUGUGUCUGAUAGCACCAUGUGUACACUGCCACCAAGGAUGAAGGGAACAAAGUAUCAUUACAUGUGACAUAAACAACAACUAAUAACAAACUGUUGGUUUUGAUAUUGCUCCUGAGUGAUUUUUGGCAUUUUAUUACUUCAUUUGACAUUCUGAAACUUCUCAGGAAUUAUGGGGAAGAAUUUUCAUUAGGUGCAGUCAAUGAUAAGGGUAAAUGAAGCUUAUAUUUAUAUUCUAAAGGUUAUAUUUGGAAAAUUAUUUUCUACCUAUAUAUUAAAUUAUAAACUUUCAUAAGUGCCCCUUUCUUAACUUCACAGUUAACUGCUGUGGACCAUGGUAUGUCACUUGUGAAUGUAAAACAAAUGCUAAGAGAACACUCAGUGGUCAUGUCAUGUUAUCUUCUUGAAAUUUAUUCCUAGGGCUCUAGUCACGUCUUAUAGGACAGUUUACCCUAAUGCAAUUGGCUCCAUUGUUGCUGCUCUGGUGCUGGUAUUACCUCUUCAUAUACCCUUGACUCCCAUCUGCUGUCAAGAUGAGGGCACAGAGGCUGAAUGAAAAGGUGAAUGAAAUACCAAGGCCCAUUUCCUGCAUGUGAGUGGAAGCAAAAUUUUAUUUUCAAACUGAGUCUUUUCUGGUAAGCAGACUUUGCCCUGCUUUGUACCACUGCUUUCUAUUUAGAAUCUGUUAUGCCCUCAGUGAAGAAAGUGUUGCAAAGUACAAAUUCUUUUUGCAUGACUUCUUCCCCCAAUUCCAAAAUGCUUUUAUGAGUCAUUUAGUAGAAAGUAGAAAGAACAAGACCUUGUCUAUUGAAAGGAGCUCCUGCUCACGUGUGAGCUGCCCUGUCUCUUGAGGUGGUACAGACGCAACUGAGACAAAGCUGUGAAUGGCAGCCAUGAUGCUUCGUGGAUUGCCUGACACACCAUGAGCACCACGAGAAUGUUCUCACUGCCACAGAGCAAUAGCAUUUCUGUCGCUAACAGGAGCCAGAAGUAUGAUUUCCAUUAUGAUAGGGAAUUUUCCUGCAUCCUCCAGGCUCCCACACCUCAGUCUGAACCUUUCUCAAGUAAUCCUGUGUCAUCACUCUGACUCUACUCUGCGUUUGGUAUAGAUCAGCCUUAGAGAGUACUGCUGGCAUCUUUGCAUGCCCCUGCCACCCCACAAUCAUAGUUGGUUCCUAAAUGCCAUUUCCAUCCCCCUGCAGUGGACCAGCCUAACUACCCAGGCCCCAUGCAUAUCUCAGAACAGACUAUUUGGAUCUGGGCUUUGAAAGUCAUCUGUUGGCUUCUGAGGACAGGCCAGCUUGGGGAUGCGGCUGGGAGCUAUGAGUUGUGAUGUAUCAGGGGAAUGUCUUAGGCUCACACAGAGGUGUUGCAUAUAGAGAGGGUCCGUGAGUGGAGAAGUAUGAGAGGGCAAUUAUAAUCAGCAACCUGUGCUGCCAGAUGGGAUCAACCAGGAAAAAUCAACUAGUGAAAGCUAAUGAUGAAAUCAUGUAAAGUGGGAUAGGCAGGAAACUUUUCUAGGUUUUUGUUUGUUUGGGUUUUUAAAAUUUAUUUGUUCUUAGCAAUGAGCAUGAAAGUUUGGUUUGAGUUCCCAGGUGAGGAGCCUCACCCUCUUCAAAUGCAUAAACUUCUCAGACCACUUGUCUAAUAAUGGUUCCAGGUAGAAUUGAAAGUUGAGGACAGAGGUCUGUUGCAAGGACUUUCUCCUCAUUAAAAUGUUUUCUCUUCAGGGCUCUCUAUGUCUGAUUUGGCAGCCUCACCCUGAAUGAUCCAAGUGGCUUUCACCUCAUUGGUUUUCACUUCAUUGCUCCUGGCUUUCUCGGGAAUUGUUUAAUUGGGUUACUAUUGUCUCACUGGCAGGAACCUACAAAAAAAGGGCUCAUUUCUAAAGCAGGGCCUUCCUCUCCAACCCUAAGUGGGCCUAUUAAGCAAAUGCAGCCCCUUGACCAGUUUGACCCUCUGUAUAAACAUAAACAUGAUUAUAGGCCAACUUCUUUACCUGUACCUUUUUCAAAAAUAAGAAACCUCCAGGGUGUGAAACUGAUGCACUCACCCCGGAUCUUUCCCUGAAAAAUCUCCAGAUAUCUACUUGUGUGAAGGACCUUGUUCAAAAUGGCAUUUCCCUGUUUCCCAUUUGACCUUGUCCUCUGCUUUGAGAAUGUGCAAAACCCUUGAGGAAAGUACAUUUUCAUCUGUCUGUAGUACCUACCAACUUGGAUGUGUUUUUAGGCAAGGGAUAGCAGAAAAACUCUGGAAAAAUUCCCCUUUCCAAUAGAAAUCUGUUUAUUUUGCCUUUAGCAAGGAACUGUUUGUUUUCUGGGCUCCAGAUUUUCAAUCUGCUGGUUGAGGCAAAUGUACCUAAUGUGUCCGGGGAUGAAUGUGAGUGCUGGGAGAUUUAUGGCUGAAACAGGAGCCUUUCUCGGGAUUCUCUGUGACCUCGGGCACAACUUUAGAACAAGGUGGUAUUUGCAGCUUUGGUGCCUGCAGGCAUGUGGGUUCCAAUCACUUCUGCUUGCAGUUCUCAGCUUGUGAGCCCACUUGUGUGUGUUUUGUUUUCUUGGCUUAUGGAGUUGUAAAAGUAGCACAGAAUGUACCAGGGUAGGCUCAGCUGGAGAUGACUAAAAGGAAAUCUUGGGGAAACUGGCAGAGAGCUGUCCACUGGUGAGAAGCAGGCACAGCUGAAAUCCAUUGGUCCUCUGUAAAGGAAGGCAGUGUCCUUCACAGACGUGAAGAGUGAGGUUAACAACUUGAAUUUCUGACCAAGUGUCUAUGCCACUAAUUUCAAGGUGUGGGGGAGAGCAACUCUUCUUAAAGUAUAUCUGUUCAAUGAAGAGCAUAAUAAUACUAACUGGCAUUUAGUGAACAUUUAUUAUAAGCCAGAAACUAUGCUAGGCCUUCUUAACACAUUCUCUCUUUUUAAUUCUCCCAAUUGUCCCUAGGCGCUAAGUGCUUUAGAUUACCCCCAUUUAUAGAUCAGGAUUCUCAAGCACAGAAAGGUUAAAUCAAUUGUCCAAGAUGACACAGGUGGCAAAGUGGCAGACCUGGGAUGAAAACCCAAGGCAGACUCCAGAAUCCAAGCUCUUAAACUUGUGAGGCAUUUAGGGAUUGAGUUUAGGUCUUUGUCUGGUCCAUGCAGAGGGAUAGGAGGCAGCGGGCCCUAAGGGAAUGAGUGAUAGAAUGGCCAGCCAGCCAGCCAGCAACUCCCUCAUAGGAUGGAGUGGAUUUUCAGUCAGACUUCAGCCUUGCAUUUUCAUUUUGCUUCAAAGAUUAUUUUCUUGUUUUCCUUACCUUUAUUUUUCCUUCUGCAAGAGUUGAUAUAUCUGUACUUCCAUUCAUUUCCCCAAUUUUUCUAUAUCUCCAAUAUUUUCAGUUUUACCCUUUAUAUCCCACUAUCUUUCUUGAUGCUGUUCUAAAAUAACCUAUUCAUUGCCCUACUCUAAAUUCUACUGUCUCAUUUUAUGUGAGGGUAAAAGGAUAAUAUAGGAGAUGGAGUAAAGUAGAGUCAUCCCUGUUUGUCCUUCUCUCCCCUUUUAUUCCCUUUCCAUAAGAAACUAGAGAAAUGUUCCUUCACCUAUGAAGAAGAGGGAGGAAUUGAAGUGUUUCUUUUUCCCUCACCAGGGGGAGCUGCCCAAGCCAGUGAACCCCUACCCUGUUUCCAUCCAUCUCUUUAUCUGUUGCAAGUUAUCCCAGCAGGCUGUCAUCUCUUCUCCAAAAGCUAGACAUAUACGCUGACUUCCUGAUGCCCUUGAAGGCUUCUGUGUAACAAUUAAAUUUGAGUAUAUGGUUCUAUUUUUCCUCCAUAAAGACCUUUUCAUUCAAUUUUCCAGGUUCUCCUCUCUAUACAAUCAUUGUAAUUUGUUUAAUUGAGAUGAUCUAUACCGUGUUUCUGAUCUAGUACUGUUUCUACCAAUGCACAGAAUAUCUGCCUGGAUUCAGCCAAAUCUGCUCAAGCAUUAAAGAGCUAAGUACUUAGGCUUUGAUCUUGGCAUCAUCUAAUCUAAGAAUCUAUAUCUGAAAAAAAGAGAGCAUGUGGAAACAACUGAAGCAAAAAGCAAAGAGAGAAUAUGGAGGGAUAUUUUUAUCAAUACAUAUUUUCCUCCUAUGGCAUAGUAAUCACUUGACCAUAGUAUUUGGCUAGACGAGACUGUGGUACAAUGCUUCAUUCAAUCAUUCAUUCAAUGAUUAGCUAAGGAUUAUAUUUGUAUCAUAUUUGGCCCUCUGGAACCCUAAAAUGUAAAAUAUCCUCACAUUUUAUAUUGUUGGACUAUAUGUGCAUAGACUCUAAAUCGUAUUCUGGCUCUAAAACUGGUGAAAAGAGAAUCAGAAUAAAAUUUUUUCUCUCCCCUUAAAUAAUAUUUUGUACUUUUCUGUACCUUACACUACUGGCUCUUAAGCCAGAUGUGUCUGCAACUGAGAGAACUCAUGAAUGCUGAUGUCAUCCAGAAGAUUUGAAAAUAAAACAGAAAACACUCUUUCCUGCAAAACCACCAGAUGCUGUCACUCAGACAAACCACUUUAUGCUGUUCUGAUUGGGACAUCCUUUACUACACUGAAUGUAAAUGGAGAAAAUUCGGGGGAGGAAAUAUUUAAAAUUACAAAGAAAUAGGAAGAUUUUUCGAUAGAAAGAUUGGUCCUAAAGUUUGCAGGCUGAGAGGAAACAAAUUCAAACCUAUGAAACCAAGAAGAAUAUAGAUAAGAUGAACAAUGACUGAAUCACCAAAUCCUGCAAUACAACAAUUAGAGGGUGUCCUUAAAUGCUUGAAAGGUAUAUUUUAUACAAAUAAGGAGUAGUAAACACACUUAAUAGCCACUCAUUUCCCCCAAAGCUGUCCAAUGCUAAAUGUAUCCAUUAAAACUACUUAGGUAGUUAAGCUGUAAUUGGGUUAUUAAGAGAAAAGAAGGAAAUAGAUACCUCUCAGAUGUGUAAUUUUAAUGGUAAGGGAAAACAUUGAUUAUUCAAUGUCUUGUGAGAGAGAAAAACUUUGGACUUUAUAAUGGCAAUUCUUAUUUUGACCACCUUCUAUCUUUGGACUUUCGUGCUGUUUAUAAGCAACUACUCUAAAGAGUGAACAUGGGAAUUGCAAGCAAAUAAAACACCAACCCAGGUUAUUUUAUACAUAAUUAGUUAGUGAACUCUUAGGGGACAUAUUAAAGUUUCUCACUAAAGUAAGAUUUUACCAUUAUCUGAUAUUAGAUAUUUGUCACAUUGUGUUUAUACUUUACCCCCUGGCUAGUAGCAUUAAUAAUGAAAAUGAGUGCUUUAUAUAUGCAUAUUAAGUAGGUUAUUCUUUUUUUUAAUAUGAGCUACAUUUUCAGUCCAUUUCUUUGUAUAAUUUUUAAACUAUAUGGCACAAUACAGUAAAUAUUCAUAGGAGGUCGAUAAACUAUACAAGAAACAAUUGGAAUAAAUCUGGUAGAUUGUUUCUAUUUAGACAUUAACUCUGUUUAUCAUUUGAGGAAUUCUCAGUAGUUGUACCAGAGGUGAUUGAUUAUUAAAUCUAUUAAUUAGAUACAAAAUACUAAUAUGUUCUGUUCAAAAGAAGUCAACAAGGCAUAAUUAUCACACAAAUCAACAACGAAGAAAGACACGUUUUAGGACAUUUGAAAAAAUCACACGUAGCUUAUUUUCUUGAGAAUCUUAAUCAUGACAAAACCUGGGUUUCACUGACUAGAUGUGAAAUGUGUGGGGCAUUUGUUUACUACGUGUCUAAGCACGGUUAGAACUACAAUCUGAAAAAUGUUUUAAUUGUACAGCCUUACAAUUAUUUCAAUCUAAAUAUCAGAGGAGUUAAUAACAUCAAUUAAUUUCAAAAUUAUGCUUCUAUUUUUGUGAGGCCAAGUAUAAAUUGUUUUUGGCAAAAAGAAAAGCUAGUUUUGCCUUUUUUUUUUUUGUAAGGCCUGCACUGGAUUAUGUGUUCUAAUGUACAGAAUGUUUAGCUAGGCUCAACCAAAUUUGCUGUCAGAUAAAAAAAAUUAAUAAUUUAAUAUUUAAACCUACUGCCUCAUGUGUUGUAUGAAGAAAUUACCUGAUUUUUAAAAAUCAAUUUUAUUUCACUUAUGCUUUUCUUUAAAUUAAGUAUUUGAACGCUUAAGAUUUGGUAUAAUUUUUAUUUGAUGGUCUUGAAAAUUGGCUACAGUCUGUGGGAAAUAUGAAAGUUCACUUAACUAUCUAAAAAUUUUAUCUACAUGAUGCCAAAACUCUAUUUCAUGGAAUCUUUGGUAAUUUUCUUAUGGAUUUCAACUUUUACUUAUGUCUAUUUUCUCCUCCUAGUAUUAUUUACGAGACACCUUGAAAAAAAACACUGCUAGUCUGCUUAAGAACUUAACUAAAGCUCCACAGGAAAAUAUGAAGACUAUUGGUUGUUCCACACAAACCCAACGCAAGAAAUGACCCUAAGUGAUAAAUUAUCACUUUCGUCUGAGAAUGCUUACCAAAAAAAUGCCUUCAUUUUAACUGGUUUGUUUUUUCUUGAGCUUAUGACAGAGUGAAUUCUAGUUGGUCAGUCUGCCAGUAUUAGUUAUUAGCCUACUGUCAAACUUUAGCUAUAACAUGUGUAUCAUUUUAUUGUUGGUAUACGACAACCAUUCUAAGUAUUAAGAAAAGUUUAUUCUUGCAUUUGAUGAUGCCAUGUUUUUUAACGCUGGAAAAUUCAAAGAUAAAGUAAGAAAUCUCAGUUCAAUAACCCAGGUUCACCAGGUUAUAUCUUCUGAAACUGAAUUCAAUUUAUACAGUACGAGAUGCUAUCUUACUGCAUAAUGUAAAGUGAAAUGCUGUGUUGUGAAGUUGUGUUAUGCCAAAUUCUAGAUAAUAUCACUCAACCCUCCCUUGACUGGCUUUGAAAAUGAGGCUGCUACAUAGGGCUCAUUUCUUUAAUACUUAAAAGAAAAACAAAUUCAGUCUCCUGUGAGUCAAUGGCCAAAUUCUCUUUACUGAAAUGCUUAAGUAACAUGCUAUUUUGUAACAAUAAUGUAUAGUUCUCUGAGGCUAUUUUUUUCUGGAUAUUUUAUUUGUUCAAUAUUAAGCUUUUAUCAUUGUUGAUGGCAUGUUACUGACCAUCAACGAUAACAUCUUUAAUUAUCCCAAUAUGCUAAUGACAAUACAUUGUUUAUGCUUAUAUUUAUAAAUUAGCUCCCGAGCAAUUAUGAAGGUUUAUAUAUAUUAUAUUCCCUUUUUGAUUUUUAUUAUCUUUGAUCUUUUGACUGACUACUGUCUAGUCAUCAUCUUUCAUGGUCUUCUUUCCCACAGAAUCUGCCAUAAUUCUUCACUUGCUUUUUUUUCCCCCAGGUAGUGAUUCCUUUCCCAUCUUACUCUUUUUCUCCCUGAGCUUUGCAUCCUGUGUAUUUUAAAGAAGGGCAAUUAAUGUAUCCAUCAUCCAUCAUUUAAUUAUUAUGGAUUUAUUUCUUCAUCAACUAUGUACUGAGCAUCAACUGUAUACCAGGCAGGUGGUGGAAAUCAAAUGGAAGAGUAUCCAUAGUUACUGAGACUAAUUUUUUUAAAGCCAAAGUAUUUAGAAUCCACAUCCUGGAAAAGGGGGCAAUGAGAAAUGCUGCCAUGGAAACAAAGAUGAUUGAAACACAACCCUGGCCUUCUAGGAUCAUUUAAUCUAAGAAGGGAGAAAGACAUGUUGACAAAUGUAAGCUGUGUCGUAGAGAAUCAAGACAUUCAUUCUGGUGACUUUGCAUUGCAGAUGUAAAAUGUUAUUUUUAUAUUCAUAACUUUACUAUAGUUAUAACAGCAGAUUAUUUAUAGCAGGGUCGAGUUUUAAUCCCGCUUAUUCUGUAAAGUCUUCGCCAACUAUUUCCUAUAUUUCAAUACCUAUUUUACUUAUGCCUGUAUCACACAUUUUAACAAAUCUUUUAGUUUUCAAAUGGUGGAAGCAACAUGAUGUGAGAGCACAAAGUGGAAGCACCCAUGGCUCCCCUUACUAUUCUUUUAGCUUUCCCGGGGGUCGUGGACUGAGACCAUCAGCUUUCCUUCUUUGCAUGGAAUCCAUGUUCCAUUAGCUGAUGACGGUCCUUUCAGGAUCCCAGCACAGCAGGGCGCAGUACACAACUUUUCUUCUUUUCUACUCUUUCUAAUCAAAUAUAGCAAACUAGUUAACAUUUUACAUUAUUUUCCUGUUAAUAUGACAGAAAAAGAGUUUAAUUGAAUAACAAAUUUGUAAAGCUUACAAAAUAAUUUAGUUCUUUUAUUAGGAAUGCGCCAGAGACUCGGGUCGGGGCAGGGUCUGGGAACAUAUGCAAAAGCUUCCUUCAAGAAACAUGUACCUAAAUCUGCGUGUCUCAUCUAUAUCCACACUACUCUUUUUAUGAUAGCUUUCUGUCAUUCAUCUUGUCAUUUAACAAAUAUCAAAAAUGAGACUUUAAACACAGAUUUUGAAAAACUGUUUGACUCUUUAAAAGAAUGUACCAAAGGAUGGGAGCAAUGUGUGUAAUAAAGGUCUUUGUUCAAGAGUAAA